GCUAGCAUAGCUCAGCAGGUAGAGCACCGGUUUUGUAAACCGGGUGUCGGGGGUUCGAUUCCCUCUGCUAGCUCCA
rnacentral:tRNA from 1 species